UUUAAUUGGAUUUAUUGGAGGAAAACAAUUAGUCAUCCCUUUAAAUUGUCAUCAUGAUAGAAAUCUCGAUAUGUAUACAUGAUUGUCAAGGCAGAGAACCACUUGCGACGUAGCCCCAUUAACAAUUUGCAGUAUUGCAAACUCAUUACGCAGAUAAAACUUUUGUGAUGCCUUAAAACAUGCAUGGAGUAAAUACAUAUUCUCCCUUCUUUUUGGACAUGGAUGCUGUUAUGAACUUGUAUCAAUCACAAGACCUGCAAUAUUAGGCACACUGACAUUCCUUGAUUAAGAUUUAAGCCUCUGUAGAAAACAUGCUUGUGUUUUCAUUAAGUGAAAUCAAGAUGUUUUGUUGUUGGGGAUAUCUGGGGAGUCACUACUCUGGGCAGAGCAGGCUUUUUCUCAUUGUUUGCUGACCUAAAUCAAAUAUCUGUCUAAAAAAUGUCCAAACUGACCAAAAUGCUGUUUCUUAACUAGAGGCCAGUGUACAACAGGACACUGACAUUGUGUUGACCAGAAACAUGAGUCUGGUCACCAUAUCUCCCACUGAGCUAACAACCUUUCAUGCUCCUCACUUUGGGGGUCAUGCUACAGCUUGAUCUAGUAAGACACAGCAUAUGUGAUGCUGUGCUGACUCAGGGGAUGCAGAUGACAGAUGGAAAAGCUCAGAGCUGCUCUGAGCACCCCCCUUGGAGCUCCCACCCACCCAGAACCACAGCACAUGUCCACCUCUUCAUGGAGCCUUGCACCACGUGCUGCCUCAGCAAUCUGAACUCAGAUUGUAAAUCAGGCUGAUUUACAGCCAUUAUUAAUGAUGAUUUUCAUGCUGCCAUGUAGUGCUUCUGCAAUGGCACAGCAUCUUGGCUGAGCACCAGCCUUGAAGGUGGGCUCAAGGCUUCUUGGUGCUUUCAGCCACCAUGGAGCAGCCCCUUGCGUUAUUUCCAAGGACUGAUACUUGCUCCCUAUGCCACCAGCAUAGGCGCUUUCUCUCCAGCCCUGCUGCUUGGCAUGUCAUUGCCAAGAAUCCAGAGCAAUUUCCCAGCCCUUUCAGAUGACUCUGCUUUGAGUAUUGGGAACUUUAUCCUCUCCCACACUAACACAGCAACCACUCACGAACUGGGACCCAUGCCCUCCUGAUGCCCACAAGAGGAUUGAGCCAGAGCUACUAUAAGUACCAUGUGGCCAUCCUGUACCCUGCCUUAGGAAGACCAGCACAAAUGAAAAUGUGUCAAUGAUUAAGGGAAGAGGAGGCAACGGCAUGAUUACCAUGUGGAAGAAAGAAAAAUACCAUCCCAAACUCUUCCACGGAUAAAUGGUGGUACUACGUAGAGGUUCAAGGAUCAAAUGCUAGUGUCUCAGUGGUGAUGCUUUGGAAAAGAUGGGAUAAUUAGCUCAGCUCUCUGCCCUAUUUUGUGCAGGCAAAAGAUCACAGCAUCUUGGUCCCCAAAAUGCAGUUCAUUCUGCAACAGGUGAGAAAGAAAUAUCUUGCAGGAAGAGAAAAUAUACUGAGAAUUGAGUGGACCAGUCUAAAUUUUGACUAAGAAAAACAAACCAAAGGAAAAAAGAGGAAACAAAGAGACACACCAACAUGCUGCUUGGUAAUCCUGAGCAUUAGCAGCCCAGGGAAGGAAUUUUUGAUGCAAAUCAAAUUUGUAAGCAUUGUAUCCAAAAAGGGAACCUCCCCUCCCCGACUCCCUGUUUCUAGACGUGUGUACAUGACUGCUGCAUAGUUUUAAGCUGCUCUGGAUGGUGACUCUUCCUGUACAUGCUGCAGAGCAUUCAACAGAAAGACAAAAUACAUUACCAGGCUUUGCAAUAUCUUGUUUACAAAACAUCAGCUUUUGCAUUUACUCAAACUUAACAAUGGAUUUAGAGUUACAGAUACAUUGAGUCAUUUAAAAGCAAAACGUAGAAGUAAACCCCUUGAAGAAAAGGUUGGGUUGAACGUGAAUAAAGAAAAAGCUUGGGAAAUACAGAAACAGUGAACAGCAGAUUAAUACAUGCAGUGCAGUAUCAUGCAUUUAUUGGACAUUUGAUGUCAUCGUUAGUUCAGCAGUGAUUUUUUUCACAACGCUUGCGAGCGUACAUGCCCUGACUCCACUCUGGAGCAUGGAAAAAAUGUAAGAGCCACUCUUCUGACCUUAUCAUUUAUGAAGAGGUGGAAAAAAUAUCUACCUGAACAAACCAGUGACACAGUUCGUGGUGGGAAGAGGUCUUGAAAACCAGAGUCUGGGCUAAAGAGCCUUUAUCCUGCAUUACAAACACUAUUUACACAGCUUUGACCCAACCGUGCAAAGUCAGACCAAAAACCC
ensembl:lncRNA